CAGGCGUGGGACCUGUCGGGGGCUUCACGGCAGCGCGGAAGGCCAGCCUGCAGAGAGGCUGGGCCCAGCGCCCUGACUGACCCAGCCCCGCCACGUCCAAGGUUCCCGCCCUCUGGAGGAAGCCGCGCAAUCACUCCGGGGGCGGGGAGAGACAGACAACUGAGAGGAAGGAGGUACCACGGGCACUCUCUCGCGAGAGGGCCGCAGAGCCGCCUUUGACGGGGGCGUGUACCUGGAGAGCAACGCUCUUGACAAAAUUCUCAGGGAAAACUCUUCAGCUCUGGAUGUCUCCCUUUUUGUGGAUCAAACACAAAGGGCAUCAUUCUAAAAUAUAUACAGAACCAUAAAAGCCCCAAAUAGCCAAAGCAACCCUGAGCAAAAAGAACAAGGCUGGAAGCAUCACACUACCAGACUUCAAAAUUUACUACAAAGCUCUAAUACCUAAAAUAACAUGGUACUGGCAUUAAAAAAAAAAAAAAAAUAGGCACAUAGACCACCAAUGAAACAGUAUAGAGAAUCUAGAUAUACCAACUCAUCUUUAACAAAGGUGCCAAGAACAUACAAUGAGGAAACGAUGGUCUUUUCAAUAAAUGGUGUGGGGGAAAGCUAGAUAACUAUAUGCAGAAGAAUGAAACAAGAUUCCUCUCUCUCGCUAUACACAAAAAUCAAAUCAAAAUGGAUUAAAGGCUUAAAUCUAAGACCUGAAACUACAAAACUAGAAGAACACACUGGAGAAGUGCUCCAGGACCUUGGUCUGGGAAAAGAUUUUUUUGUUUAAGACCUCAAAAGCACAGACAACAAAGCAAAAACAGACAAAUGAGAUUACAUUAAGCUAAAAAGUUUCUGCACAGCAAAGGAAACACUCAACAGAGUGGGGGAGACAACCCACAGAAUGAGAGAAAACAUUUUCAAACUAUCCAUCCGACAAGGGAUUAAUGACCAGAAUAAAGAGACCAAACAAUUUAAGCCAAAAACAAAACAAACAAACACACAAAAAAAACAAAAGCCAAAUAAUCUAAAAAGUGGGCAGGUUGGGUGGGGUGGCUCAAGCCUAUAAUCCCAGCACUUUGGGAGGCCAAGGCAGGCAGGUCAAGAGAUCGAGACCAUCCUGGCCAACAUGGUGAAACCCCAUCUCUACUGAAAAUACAAAAAAAAUUAGCCGGGUGUGGUGGCAUGUGCCUGUAGUCCCAGCUACUUGGGAAGCUGAGGCAGUGAGAAUCGCUUGAACCUGGGAGGCAGAGGUUGCAGUGAACCAAGAUCACACAACUGCACUCCAGCCUGAUGACAGAGCGAGACUCCAUCUUGAAAAAAAAAAAAAAAAAAGUGGGCAAAAGAUCCAAACAGACAUUUCUCAAAGGAAGACAUAAAAAUGGCCAACAGGUAUAUGAAAAAAUGCUCAACAUUACUAAUCAUUAGAGAAAUGCAAAUUAAAACAACAUGUUAUUUCACCCCAGUUAAAAUGGCUUGUAUUAAGAAAACAGAUAAUAACAGAUGCUAGUGAGGAUGUGGAGAAAAGAGAACCCUCAUACACUGUUGGUAGAAAUGUAAACUAGUACAACCACUAUGAAGAACAGUAUGGAAGUUCUUCAAAAAACUAAAAAUAGAAUUACCAUAUGAUCCAGCAAUUCCACUACUGAAUAUGUAUCCAAAAGAAAGGAAAUCCGUAUAUCAAAAAGAUAUCUGCACUCCCAUGUUUAUUGCAGCAUUGUUCACAAUAGCCAAGAUAUGGAAUUAACCUAAGUGCCCAUCAAUGGGUGAAUGGAUAAAGUGUGGUAUGUAUGCACAAUGAAAUAUUAAUCAGCCAUAAAAAAUAAUGAAAC
rnacentral:lncRNA from 10 species